rfam:Pan troglodytes isolate Yerkes chimp pedigree #C0471 (Clint) chromosome 1, whole genome shotgun sequence.
UUUUUAGUAUAAGUAUAUCCCAUGCAAUAUUUGGGACAUACUUACACCAAAA